rnacentral:rRNA from 1 species
GACGAACGCUGGCGGCGUGCUUAACACAUGCAAGUCGAACGGUAAGGCUCCAGCUUGCUGGGGUACACGAGUGGCGAACGGGUGAGUAACACGUGGGUGACCUGCCCUGCACUUCGGGAUAAGCCUGGGAAACUGGGUCUAAUACCGGAUAGGACUGCACCGUGAGGGUGUGGUGGAAAGUUUUUUCGGUGUGGGAUGGGCCCGCGGCCUAUCAGCUUGUUGGUGGGGUAAUGGCCUACCAAGGCGGCGACGGGUAGCCGGCCUGAGAGGGUGGACGGCCACAUUGGGACUGAGACACGGCCCAGACUCCUACGGGAGGCAGCAGUGGGGAAUAUUGCACAAUGGGCGGAAGCCUGAUGCAGCGACGCCGCGUGGGGGAUGACGGCCUUCGGGUUGUAAACUCCUUUCACCAUCGACGAAGGGUUUCUGACGGUAGAUGGAGAAGAAGCACCGGCUAACUACGUGCCAGCAGCCGCGGUAAUACGUAGGGUGCGAGCGUUGUCCGGAAUUACUGGGCGUAAAGAGCUCGUAGGUGGUUUGUCGCGUCGUCUGUGAAAUUCCGGGGCUUAACUCCGGGCGUGCAGGCGAUACGGGCAUAACUUGAGUACUGUAGGGGAGACUGGAAUUCCUGGUGUAGCGGUGAAAUGCGCAGAUAUCAGGAGGAACACCGGUGGCGAAGGCGGGUCUCUGGGCAGUAACUGACGCUGAGGAGCGAAAGCAUGGGGAGCGAACAGGAUUAGAUACCCUGGUAGUCCAUGCCGUAAACGGUGGGCGCUAGGUGUGGGUUUCCUUCCACGGGAUCCGUGCCGUAGCUAACGCAUUAAGCGCCCCGCCUGGGGAGUACGGCCGCAAGGCUAAAACUCAAAGGAAUUGACGGGGGCCCGCACAAGCGGCGGAGCAUGUGGAUUAAUUCGAUGCAACGCGAAGAACCUUACCUGGGCUUGACAUAUACAGGAUCGCGCCAGAGAUGGUGUUUCCCUUGUGGCUUGCAUACAGGUGGUGCAUGGUUGUCGUCAGCUCGUGUCGUGAGAUGUUGGGUUAAGUCCCGCAACGAGCGCAACCCUUGUCUUAUGUUGCCAGCACGUUGUGGUGGGGACUCGUAAGAAACUGCCGGGGUUAACUCGGAGGAAGGUGGGGAUGACGUCAAAUCAUCAUGCCCCUUAUGUCCAGGGCUUCACACAUGCUACAAUGGUCGGUACAGUGGGUUGCCAGUCCGUGAGGGCGAGCUAAUCCCGCAAAGCCGGUCUCAGUUCGGAUCGGGGUCUGCAACUCGACCCCGUGAAGUCGGAGUCGCUAGUAAUCGCAGAUCAGCAACGCUGCGGUGAAUACGUUCCCGGGCCC